CGCGGCCUAUCAGCUUGUUGGUGGGGUAGUGGCUUACCAAGGCUUUGACGGGUAGCCGGCCUGAGAGGGUGACCGGCCACAUUGGGACUGAGAUACGGCCCAGACUCCUACGGGAGGCAGCAGUGGGGAAUAUUGCACAAUGGGCGGAAGCCUGAUGCAGCAACGCCGCGUGCGGGAUGACGGCCUUCGGGUUGUAAACCGCUUUCGCCUGUGACGAAGCGUGAGUGACGGUAAUGGGUAAAGAAGCACCGGCUAACUACGUGCCAGCAGCCGCGGUGAUACGUAGGGUGCGAGCGUUGUCCGGAUUUAUUGGGCGUAAAGGGCUCGUAGGUGGUUGAUCGCGUCGGAAGUGUAAUCUUGGGGCUUAACCCUGAGCGUGCUUUCGAUACGGGUUGACUUGAGGAAGGUAGGGGAGAAUGGAAUUCCUGGUGGAGCGGUGGAAUGCGCAGAUAUCAGGAGGAACACCAGUGGCGAAGGCGGUUCUCUGGGCCUUUCCUGACGCUGAGGAGCGAAAGCGUGGGGAGCGAACAGGCUUAGAUACCCUGGUAGUCCACGCUGUAAACGGUGGGUACUAGGUGUGGGGUCCAUUCCACGGGUUCCGUGCCGUAGCUAACGCUUUAAGUACCCCGCCUGGGG
rnacentral:rRNA from 1 species